UGGAGUUUCAAGAUGCUGAUGAACUUAAGGUCUGGCGCUUGAAAGAAUCAGUGAAGCUUUUCAAGUAGAGGAGUACUCUACUUUGAAGAAAGGAAUGGAACAGAAGGUGUCUGCAUAACUAAAUGGGGAUCUAGAGAAAGUGGAGACUGCCUCUGGAGCAGGGAGGUGAGUGGACCAGAUCACUGUGGGCCUGGGCCUACUCAGCUGAUUUUCAAGCUAAAACCAGGGGUAACUUUUCCUCUUGAGACGAAAGCCAUGCUCACAUUCUGUGAACAGCCAGAGAUGUGUUCGAAAGGCUUACUUUUAUUUUGUACUAGAAAAGAUUGUCUUUCCAAAAUUUACCUCGUAUUCAUAAACUGGAAAGUUCUGAUGGCAAUAUUUUGUUACAAAAUUGUCAUUAAUCACAAUCCAGGAUUAUGCCACCAUGACUAGAAGGCCCCCUAAUGGAGUUUAUCUGCACUGCAAGGGGCCAGUUGUCUCAGAAUCAUCCUCCGUUGACAUCUCCAUCUCCAGGACAGCUCCACACUAAUCUGUUUCAAAGACAAAAUCCAGUCUAAUCAGUUUGAUGUAUGUUUCUGGGAAUAGAGCCGAAUGUUGUAGCUGAUGGAAUGGAGUCUCAUACCAUUGAUUUUGCAGCUGGACAAGUGCCCUGCCAUGUUACUGCCACUCUUUAAGGCAGAAUAGAGCACAUUGUAUCAUUUAUAGGCCUCUCACAGUGAGAAAUAUGUGGAACUUUGGAAAUCAGAAUCUAAAACUGCAGUCCAAUGGGGUAGCCACUAUUCACAUGUGCUAUUGAGUACCUAAAAUGUGGCUAGACCAAGUUGACAUGUGCUGAAGGGUGAAAAACACCAGGAGUGAAGAAUUAACUUGAAAAAAAUGUAAACUAUCUCAAUUUUAUAUUGAUUACAAAUUAAAUGAUGUUUUGAAUAUAUUGAGUUAAAUGAAAUACAUUUUUUAAUGAUACAUGAUGCGUAUUAUAUUUCUGUUGGACAGUACUGGUCUAAAACAGUUGAUUCACUAUCCAGUAGAGAGAAAGGUAUUGCUGUUUUACCAUAUGUGACCUUCAGGGAAAAGAAGAAUAAAAUUAGCACUUGAAAAUGGAAAAA
rnacentral:lncRNA from 10 species